GAUGAACGCUGACAGAAUGCUUAACACAUGCAAGUCUACUUGAACUUCGGUUUGGGUGGCGGACGGGUGAGUAACGCGUAAAGAACUUGCCUCACAGAUAGGGACAACAUUUGGAAACGAAUGCUAAUACCUGAUAUUAUGAUUUUAGGGCAUCCUAGAAUUAUGAAAGCUAUAUGCACUGUGAGAGAGCUUUGCGUCCCAUUAGCUAGUUGGAGAGGUAACGGCUCACCAAGGCGAUGAUGGGUAGCCGGCCUGAGAGGGUGAUCGGCCACAAGGGGACUGAGACACGGCCCUUACCCCUACGGGAGGCAGCAGUGGGGAAUAUUGGACAAUGGACCAAGAGUCUGAUCCAGCAAUUCUGUGUGCACGAUGAAGUUUUUCGGAAUGUAAAGUGCUUUCAGUUGGGAAGAAAAAAAUGACGGUACCAACAGAAGAAGUGACGGCUAAAUACGUG
rnacentral:rRNA from 1 species